AAAAGCUGUGCAGUGCCGCUCCCCCGACCGACUCCUUGAGAAGAAACGGCGGAGACCUGAGACCCGGAGGCUGAGGCUGUAGAUGAAAUUGAAUCAUGGAAGAAUGCCUUUAUCUGAGGAGUCAUCACCACUAGGGAGCUAUGGAGGCUGUUAUCCUUGACAUCUGCAGCAGCCCUUCCAAGCUGUGGAGACCAGGUCAUCUGGAAUGCCCAUUUAUGUCAAUGGAAGAAAGAAAAAGGGGUCUCCUCCCAUCCUCACCACUGCAUUCUCCCACCAACCCUGCUCCUGUCCCACUUCCCACAACUCAGUUGUUGACAAUUUAACAGUGGGUUUCUGGAAACAGUGCUGCCUCCUUGAUGGUCUAACUAACUACCAGAGUUAUUCUAACAGCAGGAAUUUCAAGCCAGCAAACCAGACAUACAUAGGAGGCACAGCAAAAGACCCAAGGUGAGGGGCUUCCCUCACCUUCACCCUUGUUCUCACGUGGAGGUGG
rnacentral:lncRNA from 1 species